AAGACUGUAAUUAUAACAAUGUACACUUAUUUAUAGUUGCGAGUGGUGAUCAUUUAUUCAUUUAUUGUGCCUACAUGGGAACAAAACAGUUCUGCUCGGAGAUUACAUUUUUUAGUUUUACUUACGUAACAAGAUAUGAAUAAUAAUAAUAACAAGAUAUUGAUGUGAAACUACUAUUAAUGUUUAGUGUUUACCAAUAAAAUCACAUCACUCAAGGUAUUGGAAACAUAUAUACGAAAUACCGAAUAAUAUAGAUUGCUGAUGGAAAUAUAACGAAAUAAAGUAAUUUGCAAGAAUUUACCCUGUUGACGACUUAUAGUGGAAGACCUAGACAGCGAUGACGCAGUGUCUAGAUUGAGUGAUGCAAGAUUUAAGAGUUGUCGAUGAAUUAGUAGUACUGAAGUCUGGAAUGGACAAAAUGAAUGGAAAAUCUUAGUGAAA